rnacentral:lncRNA from 1 species
UCGGUCAUCUCAAUCAUAUGCCUUGAGGUAAAACCUGUUCUGACACCAAAACAAACAAACAAAUGAAAAUUUUCUAUCCUAAUUUUCACCAGAAAAAUUUUGUAUUUGCAACACAAAUCUAAACUAUUUUUAAUCAAAAGCAAUAAAAUCAGGAUUGUGUAUCCUUGGGAAUGAAGCCUGGAAUUGGGAGGAUUACCAGGUUAUGCUGGAAAAUAAUCGGGAUAUGCUAUGAAAGAAAAAGGUCACCGGGUUAUGCCGGGAAGGUCUACGGGUUAUGCCUGAAGAAAAUGAAAAGGUCAAUGGGUUAUGCCAAGGAGAUCCACCGGUUAUGCUAGAAGAAAAGAAAAAAAAAGGUCACUAGGUUAUGCUAGGGAGGUCCACGGGUUAUGCGAGGAGAAAAGAAAAAAGGUCCUUGGCUUCUGCCAGGGAGGUCCACGGGUUAUGCCGGGAGGGAAAAAAAACAUCCUUCGGUUAUGGUAGGGAGAUCCACUGCUUAUGGCGGGAGAAAAGAAAAAAGGUCCUUGGGUUAUGCUAGGGAGAUCCACGGGUUAUGCCGGGAUGAAAUAAAAAAGGUCAUUGGGUUAUGCCAGGGAGUUCCACGGGUUAUGUUGGGAUAAAAGAAAAAAGGUCCUUGGGUUAUGCCACGGAGGUCCACGGGUUAUGCCGAGAUAAAAGAAAAAGGUCCUUGGGUUAGCCAGGGAAGUCCAUUGGUUAUAUCGGGAUAAAAGAGAAAGGUUCUUGGGUUAUGCCAGAGAGGUCAACGGGUUUAUGCCAGGGAGAUCCACGGGUUAUGCCGGGAUGAAAGAAAAAAGGUCCUUGGGUUAUGCCAGGGAGGUCCACGGGUUAUGAUGGGAUAAAAGAAAAAAGGCAGUUGGGUUAUGCCAGGGAGGUCCACCGGAUAUGCCAGGAGAAAAGGAAAAAGGUCCUUGGCUUCUGCCAGGGAGGUCCAAGGAUUAUGGCGGGAGGAAAGAAAAAGGUCCUUCGGUUAUGCCAGGGAGAUCCACUGGUUAUGCUGGGAGAAAAGAAAAAAGGUCCUUGGGUUAUGCCUGGGAGGUCCAUGAGUUAUGCUGGAAUAAAAGAAAAAAGGUACUUGGGUUAUGCCAGAGAGAUCCACAGGUUAUGCUGGGAUAAAAGAAAAAGGUCCUUGGGUUAUGCCAGAGAAGUCCACGGGUUAUGCCGGGAUAAAAGAGAAAGGUUCUUGGGUUAUUCCAGAGAGGUCCACGGGUUAUACCGACAUAAAAGAAAAAGGUCAUUGGGUUAUGCCGGCAUAAAAGAAAAAGGUCCUUGGGUUAUACAAGGAAGGUCCAUAGGUUAUGUCGGGAUAAAAAGAAAAAAGGCUCCUUUGGUUAUGCAGGGAUGUCCACGGGUUAUGUCGGGAUAAAAGAAUAAGGUCAUUAAGUUAUGAUAGGGAGGUCUGUGGGCUAUGCCGGGAUAUUUAGGGAAUGGGAGCCUAUGCUACCAUGAUUUUUUUUAAAAAUACAAGAAAGAAUUUGGAUGAAACUUCCCUUUUGGGUUGGUUAUUGCUACGAAGCUAUUCCUAGCUCUUGGCGUUUCCCUUUUUGACGAACUUGCUUCUUGCAUGCUUGCUUUUGAUUACCCAUUUUCAACUUUUCAAUUGUUAGUUUGAAACGGUGGUUGGUUUUGUGGCCUUGACUGUCUCAAUUGCUUGAUCCCGGCCCAAAUUUCCGUUGAGGACCUCUAAUACUUGUUGGUUUUGAAGAUUCAUCUCUCUUUCAAAUCGCAGGACUCAACUCUUAGGAUUUCAUGAUGACUCGCACGCCUAGGGCUCUAGCCUUUUCACUUUAUUCUUCUCUUAGGACCUUUGUCUUUGACUUUCUUUCCUUUUCAACGUCUUUGCUUUGAAAGCAUAAAAAAUCAUGGCCAGUCGGGAUUGGAUUGAUGCACCCGCUGAGGCUGGGUGCUUUUUCACAUUCGCUCGUGUCAAAUGAAAGCCCUGUAAAUCAGUCUUUUCCAUCCUUUCUUUGUUUUAGUUUCGAAACAGUGUUAGACGCAAAGGGAUUCAAAGAAAACAAACAAUUGAUAGAGAAUGAGUUUAAUACAAGAAGUAUCCCUUCCGGGAAAAGGAGAAAAGGACUUAUUUGGAGUACAUAAGGACUUCAAUGAACAUGACAUGCCCUUUGGACUAGAUGCCUGAUCUGUGUAAACCAUCCGACUCUCAGAAAUUUAUCAUUACUUUUGCCUCAAAAUCGAGAAACCUUUGCAGGACUAUGUCGGUGAUGGUGGCUGUAAGGAUCCUCUUUUUGAUCAGGGGCGCCCUUUACGGGUUUUCACGAGUUGACCUCUCUCAUUUCUUUUCUUGUAUUAUAGAGCUCUUUAUGAGUUUUCACUAACAAGAUUCUUUAAUUUUUCAUUUCUCUGCUUACCAUCGCCUCAUGGUGCCCCGUGUGGGUUUUCACCAAUAAGACUCUCUCAUUUUAUUUCUCUCAUUUUGUUGUGUCAGAUACAAGUAACUGUAUUCUCUGAUCCUCAAAAAUUCUCACCGAUUGAUCAGAAAGACUUGAGAGGAUUCGGGUAAAAAUGAUUUGGAUUGAAUUAACACUUUGGAACCAAUCGCGCGGGAUCAACGUCGAACCAUUAUAACACUUGCCCCAGUUUCACUUUCGGGGGACUUUGGAUUUUCAUUUUGGUGUGACUGAACCUCAGAGAGGCUGCCUACGUAUCCUUUCUUGAACAUUCUCACCAAUUAAUCUGAAAGACUUGAACAGGAUUUGGACAAAAAGGAUUUGGAUUGAGUUACAACUUUGGAACCUUUUGGGAGGGAUUAUCGCAGAACCAAUAUAACAUCUGCCCCCGUUUCACUUUUGGGGAAAUUUGAAUUUUUAUUUUGGUGUGAGUGAAGCCCAGAGAGAGGCUGCCUACGUAUCCUUUUGGAAUCAAGUCGAACAUAGUUCAGGGAACUUUGUUUUUUUGAUUUUCUUUUGUUUUUCUUCUUUUUUUUGUUUUCUUCUUUCCUUUUUCCUCUCUUUUCAUUUUUUUCAUUUCAUUUUCUUUGUAUUUUCUUCCUUCUUCUUUUCCUUCUAUUUCAUUUUUUCGUUUUUCCAACUAUUUUUUUGACACUUUCCGGUUCCAAAGAGGGUAGUCAAAGAACAGUAACCGACUCAAAGGGUUUGCAAAGGGUUGAUAGUGUUUGGGUAGCGAGAAUGAAAGCCUUCGUCAUCCCAACUGGAGAAUAUUAAUACUAUAUGGAGGAUCAAUCAGAGUACCUUUUGGCUGCAUUUGCAUUGACAGCUAUUUCAAGGACAUUUCCUUCAACGUGUCCCAAGUACAACGCACUCUUUUGGCAGUACUCUUGUUGCAAUUAUGGACCUUUCCAAUCCGAGAACCAAUUUUCCUUUAUUUGUUCUAACUCAUUGUUUUAUUGUCCUGAGCUAAUAUUCAUUGCGACCCAAUUCUUGAUUCAUUAUUUCGAGAUCUGGCAAUGUAUUAGGAUCCGGACAUGAAGUCCACAUGCAUGUCAUGUUAUUAAAAUCUGCAUUUAACAAAACUAAAAAGAGAAUUAGAAAAUUAAGAAGAUUAAGAAAAGAGACAUAUUUUUUUUUACUUUUGUUCAAUUAUUUGAAGAUAAAAGGGUUUACAUCGGAAAGUAAGACAAUAAAGUAAAGACAUUUGUAUCACAACCUGAGAUAAUUCGGACGCAAAAAGGAUAGCAAGACUGGCAACUGAGACUCUGUCUGAUGGGGAACUUUCAGACUUGGCAACUAUUUUUUCGCUUUUCUUCUAUCUCGGCAAUAGCUUCAAUAUCCUUCAGUUCCGAAUCAAAUUCCUUAGCUUCACAAAUCAUUCCAACUAUUGGCCUGGUAUUGUGGGCAGGCAACAUAUUGUUCAUCACAUCAGGAGUUUCUUCAUCCUGAAAAAUAAUUCUUUCAGCUUCAAUCAAAUCCCCAACUACCCUUUUGAGGGUCCAACAGUCCUCUGUAUUGUGUCCUACUGCUCCAUAGUGGUAUUCACAGAUACGAUCAUCUCGGUGCGAGGGGGACUCAGGGUUCGGCCAGUUCAGGGCCACUGACUGCAAUAGAUCUAGCCGGAUUAGCUCUUAGAACAAGCUUGAAUAUGAUUCACCAAUAGGAGUGAACUAAUUCUUUCUGAAAGGCUCUCCUAGGCGAGGACUGUAUUGGGAAUCAUUUGGUUGAGGAUCAUAUGGAUCUUGGUAAGGAUGGGCAUUUUCUGGGAGGUGGUGCUUGGUUUUGUGUAUAAUAUUAUGGAGCAGUGUUGGAUUGCACGCCCAUCAUCGCACAUGGAGGCGGCGCCACAACAUAAGCAUUAUCUUGAAGGGGAUAAUAGUAUGGUGGGACCAUAAGAGGCACAUAUGACUUGGUGAAUGACCUACGGGCCCCUAGAGCUUGAAAUCAUCAUGACUCUCUUUUCACUCCCAUUUCUGUUUAUCAAAUCCUCCAAACCAUUAUGAGAAAACUGUGAUGUGGCCUUAAAAGAAGCAUGACUCAAGAUUCGACCCGUUUUCAAACCAUUUUCAACCAUUUCCCCAAUUUUGAUAGCCUCGGCAAAUGGCUUACCCAUAGCAGACAUCAUGUUCUAGAAGUAGUCAGCCUUUUAGGCAUGCAGAAAAACCGUGACCAUUUCAGUUUCGUCCAUUUGAGGCUUUACCCUAGUAGCUUGCUCACGCCAUUUGACAGCAUAUUCGCAGAAGCUUUCCUCAGUUUUCUUUCUCAAAUUAGACAAGGAAUUUCUGUCGGGAGCGAUGUCCACAUUGUAUUGGAACUGGCAGACAAAAUCGCGAGCCAUAUCAACCCAACCGUGCCAAUGAGUAAUUUCUUGACCCGUAUACCGCUCAGAAGCGAUUACGGUGAGGCUUUCCCCUAAAUAGGCCAUUAGCAGCUUAGUUUUUCCAUCAACACCCCUCAAUUGUUGUAGUAUAAUUUCAUAUGAGCAACCGGGUCUCCAUGCCCAUUAUACUUCUCAAAUUUUGGCAUCUUGAAGCCAACUGGCAGGUGGACAUGGGGACGCAUACAAAGGUCAGAGUAUGACACACUCUUUUUACCACUCAGACCUUGCAUGUUUUUCAGGCUUUGUUCCAGUCUCUUCAUCUUUCAAGCCAUUUCCUUUUGCUUGGCGUUUUUAACAACUUUUCCUUGCCUCGCUGAGAGAUCAUAUCGCGAAGGUUGAGUGAAAGAGUAUGGGGUCACAUUUGUUAUUUUUGGUUGGAUCUGUGGACUCUGAAAGAUGAACAUUGGAGGCCAUGCCCUGGAAGCCGGUGCCUGGGGGCGAACCACAGAAGGAAUGACAUGAUCAUUGAACGACAUUGGAGGGUGCCCGCCUGGGAUGAGCGAGUUGGGCAUAGGGGUGUUGGUAACCUCACUUGACCUAGGGAUCAACUCAGGAACCUAGGGUUUGCACUUGGCGGUUCCCUACCAUUAGACCAGGCGUCCCACAUUUCCAUGAUGCGGAGAUGCAAUAUCUUAUUCUCUUUAGCAGCUGCUGAUUCUAACUAUAGAAUAGCCGAUGCUGGGUUAUCCUCAGGACCAAUGAUUGGUAGAUUACUUGCGGAGGCCAUCUGUGCCUUUUGAUUUUGUGAGGGAGGGAAGGCUAGACUACCAACAAAACCAACCGCCAAAACCUGACUAGUUUGCACAUCUAACAACCUUGUUAGUUUUGAAACAUUUAACAUAUAGAAAAUCGCACGUCGGGAUGCAAUGCACCUAACAGUUAAACGCUUCUACCGUGUGUUUGAACGGUUGCAUGUUUCAUCCCAGAUUUAACUAGCCCUUUUCACUCUAUACCUCUUUUCUUCAUUCCUGUCUCUCUUAAAUCAUUCUUGAUUUUUUCUUCCAUCUUGUUUUUGCCGCUCUUUUAUUUUUGCACUUUCUUUUUCUCUAUUUGUUUGUCACUAUUUAUUUCUUGUUGCUCUUUUUUUCACUUUUUCUUUCUUUUUCACUCAAUUUUUUUUCAGUUUAUUUUUCACUUAAUUUAUUUAUGGCUAUGAUCGAAUCCGAUGGGGAUUGCCAACGUAUCAUGACCCCGCAUGAAUUAGAUCUUGUGUAGUUCGGGAAGAUCGAUAAUGGAGUAAAUAAACUAACUCUUUUUUGGGGAAGUUGUUGAAAGAAAUGUUUUAAAAGAAGAAAGGAAAUAUUUUUUGAUUUUUCGAUUUUGAUUUUUCUUUUAUAUUUUGAAAGAAAGUCUUCUAUUCAUUUUCUUUUGAUUUGAACUUUGAAAAUUUUAAAAGUAAAAAAGAAAAAUAUUUUGUUUGAAUUUUUAUUUGUUUUCUCUUUUUCUAAAGAAGCAAGAAAAAUACUUUUGGCUUUUCGAUGUUGCCUCUUAAUUUUCUAUAGAGAGACUUUUAAGAAAGAGUUUUGGAUUAUUGAGUUUUUAUUUAUUUACAAAAGUACUUCUAAAGAAAAACAAAAAUAUUUUUUAGACUUCAAUUUUUCAAAAUUUUUAUGGCCAUUUACAAAAAAAAAGACAUCUAAAGAGUAUUUUACGGAUUUUUGUUUCAGAUGGUUUUUUUUCUGGAAAAAUACUUCAAAAGGAAGGAAACGCGUACUUUGGAUUUUGAUUUUUAUUGAUUUUUCUUUUUCGUAUGAAAGGCAUUUGAAAGAAGGAAACUAUUAUUUUUAGUUUAAAAACUAUUUUUUUUUUAAUUUUCCGAGGAAAGAUUUAUACAGAAGGAACUAAACAAAAAAAAUUUGGAUUAUUUUUUAAAAUUGGGGUCGAAACUGAUGAAGUUUGCAUACGUAUCUCACAUCCGGUGAAAAUGAGACCCGCGUAGUUUGGUCAGUUUUGAUGGAACUAGGAAAACGUGGCACUUGAAAUUAUUAUUAUUUUUGGCUCAUUUUGAAAUGACUUUUCUUUUUUCAGAAUUUCAAAAUUUUCUAAACCUACCUCUUACCUUCUUUUUUCCCCGUUUUUUUAUUUUCUUCCUCUAUUCUAGAAGUCGGUCAACAUACAGUCGAACAAACAAUGCGCAAGUAGCAUGUAAGAUGUAUCAGGAUGGCCUUUUUAAUUUGGAUACACCUGUUCUAGACAAACCCAACCCAUGUGUUAAGUUUCCAAAGUCAAAUGGACGUGAUGCAAACAAACGUUCCUACUAGGGAUAUGGUAUGAGCCUUUGUUAUACUAGGUUUAAAAUCUGAGUUCAUUGUUCUAGAACUGACUUACCCGAGCGGACAACUCAAGCCGAGAGAGGGGCGGCGUACGAAAAUACAAAAGCUUCGCCGGCUUAGCAACUUGUCCGAACCUCGUUCUAAAUGGAAUAAAACUCUAAAUAGAAGAGAAGGCACACAAAGUACACCCUUCUCCAUGAUGUAGAAGACUCACAGACAGAAAGAGUUUCGUACUAGUUUAUAUAUACAAUUCAACAAAUAUCAAAGCGGUAAAGUAUUUAACACUUUUUAGCAUGAAACAUGUAGGAAAAUCAUAUAAUAGAUAACCAAUCAUAAUAGCUAUUCUAAGAUCGAAUUCUUGAAACCUAAACUGAAAUUCUGGGUUCAUGUCCCCAACACAGUCGCUAGAGCUGUCACGCCUCCUUUUUUAUACACCUACCUCAGGGAUAAUGUAUAAGGGAGUUUUUUCAGUUUAAGUGACAUUAUUCGAAAUGGAAUUAUUUAUUUGUCAGAGUCCCCACUUGGGAUAGUUUAUUUGGUGUCCCAAGUCACCGGUUUAUUUUGAAUCCCAAAUCGAAAAUUUUUUGACUUUCCUUAUGAAAUCUGCGAACCAGAAACUCUGACUAAGGAAUUUUGUUAAUCCGGGGAAGGUGUUAGCCACCCCCAGAUUCCGUGGUUCUAGCACGGUCGCUUAAACUAUUACAAUUGGCCUAUUAUCUGAUUUUAAUACAUGUUUACCCUAUGGUGUAAUGUUAAAUUAUGUACCGCUUCUAAUUAAUUUUAAGGAAGAUUAAACGUCGUUUAAAACAUGUCUUUGGAUCGCUUCACAUGAACGCAUUUUUUUGGGAUUUGGAUCUAGGUCACAUGAAAUGUGCACCCGGGUUUAGGAAGUUAAUAGUAUUAAAAUAACGUGCCUGAAGCAACUACGCAUUAUUAAAUUUGCAAGAGCCGUGAAAAUUUGCUAAUGGCACGCCUCGAUUUCUAAAGAGUUAAAAUUAAUGAAAUGAGGUCCAUGAGUUUUGAAAAUUUAUUUGGUAUGGAACGUUUAGACUUAUUCUAACAAAAGGGUUAUAUAUUUUAAAAGGAAAUUAAAGGUGCUCGUAUUUUAAUCUAAUUUUAAAAAAAAAAGUUAUCGCAACCACAUCACGGGAAUAAUACCCAUAAUUGAAAUAAUAUAAUUGCGCCUACAUUAUUAUACAAAUAUUCAUAAGUCAAUUUGUUUUUCUAACUUCCUAUGAAAUUCGCUGAAGGUCAUACUAUGUGACAGAAGAAAUGUCGAAGUCAUCAAUCGACAUAUUUAUAUGACUAAAGGUGAAAAUGCAUUCAAUGCAAGUCACAAACUCAUUGAAUUUGGUCUUUGGUUCACGAUUUUAAAAUAUGACAUAGCUCAUGUGAUCUCAAACCAACAACAACAAUUAUUUAAACUUAAAAGAGAUCAAUCAGAAAUGUUUUGUCAAAAACUAACAUGUAUUACUUUGUGAUAAAGAUUCAGAAUGUUUUUUUUACAUUGAAACUAUAUGUAUGGUCAUGGAUCUUAAAUCGGUAUUUGAAAUCUGUCACAUUUUUUUUCCAACACAUUGAAAGACCGCAGAUGGCAUUGGGUGCGGCAGUAAUAAACUCUUUUACUAACAAUUUCCGCAGAAGAACUUUAAAUAUGUUCACAUUAGUGUAGCUACACCUAAAUCGAACUUUGUUUAUAGCUCAUGAUAUCACAAAAUCAACAACAACGACCAUUUAAAACUCAUCAUGGGAGCAGAAGAUUUCAGAUUUUUAUUCAAACUUAACGUCAGAUAUAAAGAAGACCUUUAUCAAACACAUAGGUGAACAAAUAUUGUAUAUAUCAUAACAUUACAGCAUCCAAACGAUAACUACAUUACCGAAGAUUGAAAUUGGUACCUCAACAGCAGUACAAACUGCAAUUAGCCAAAUAAAGGCAAGAGAUAAAGAGCAGGCACAUCAAUCCAGUGAAAUAGCCAAGUAGCUCCAAUUACUGACUAGAUUCAGUUUGAAAACCCAGGAAAGCGAUGUAGGAGAUCUCUUUGAAUCGAAAAACACAAACUAAUUAUUUUUGAGUGUAGAAAUCAACUCUUAUUCUAUUUUUUUUGAAGCUGGACAUUUCAGAUUUUAGAAAGGAAAUUUUUGACUUUCAAAAUCUGUUUUCAGAUGUUUCUCGCGUGUGUGUCAAGAUGUGUGCCUGUGUGAUUUUGUGAAGGGAUCUCAAAAUCAGAGAGGAGAUUGCUGAUUUUUACGGAAAAUGGAGGAGAAACUUUUUCAGCUCUCCAAACGUGCCGCCUCUGUAUAUUUUCAGAGGAAGGUCCCAAAAAUCUCUUCUCCUCCUUUUUAGGUGUAGG